rnacentral:rRNA from 1 species
GUGGGGGAUAUUGCACAAUGGGGGAAACCCUGAUGCAGCGACGCCGCGUGAAGGAAGACGUACUUCGGUAUGUAAACUUCUAUCAGCAGGGAAGAAGAUGACGGUACCUGACUAAGAAGCCCCGGCUAACUACGUGCCAGCAGCCGCGGUAAUACGUAGGGGGCAAGCGUUAUCCGGAUUUACUGGGUGUAAAGGGAGCGUAGACGGUGAAGCAAGUCUGAUGUGAAAACCCGGGGCUCAACUCCGGGAUUGCAUUGGAAACUGUUUUACUUGAGUGCUGGAGGGGCAAGCGGAAUUCCUGGUGUAGCGGUGAAAUGCGUAGAUAUCAGGAAGAACACCGGUGGCGAAGGCGGCUUGCUGGACAGUAACUGACGUUGAGGCUCGAAAGCGUGGGGAGCAAACAGGAUUAGAUACCCUGGUAGUCC